UGCGACAAGCAGGAGCAGAGGGUGAAAGAGAGCGGGCCACAAAGUGGGAGCCGGGACGUGAGGGCCAACCAGAGAGAGCGUAAUAAGGAGGAUUGCUAGGAAAGGAUUGGGGGGCAGGCGAAGGGUGAGGCUGGAAGUGAACAUGAGGCGCCUGCUUCUAUCCCUGCCCUCUAUGAAGUCUGGCUGCCAAGGGAGACCCUGGGUCACUGCGCCCUCAGGAUCCGCUAUUGAUGCGUAGCAAAAAAGCAAGAAGGGAGCAAAGCGCUGAUCCCUAGCUGGCUUCACUUUCCCACUCGCCGCUGCAUUUGCAACUAGAGACGUAUAUCGCUCUCCUUCGCCUGGUUCUGUGGCCCACCCAGGACCCGCAACUGUGACAUAACGCAGCAGGGUUAGGACUGUGCAGCUGGCCAGACGCUGACUGCAGCGUCUGACCCUGACCACGAGUUUGAGGGAGGUGGCUGUGGUUUCUCUGGAGGGCAACCGGGCACUAGCCCGUAGACACUUGUGGCCUCCCCAGCCCACCCCCAAGGACGCUCUCUAAGAGCUUAGCGUCUCCACCGCUCACCUGGAAAGGGUGCAGGAGAGGAAAGAGCCUCAAGUUUGGCAGACGCUCUGUUGCAUGGAGGCCCAGAUGAGCACGCUAGCUCCUUGGACCAGUGUCUCCUAGGUCACCCUUGGGCAAAGAACGAGAGCGGGAACCAGGAGAGCUCGGCUUCUCGGGGCUUCUGGGCCUGAGGCUUCCCAGAUUCUACUCGGGCGAUACAGUUGCGCUCUGAUGCUCGCGCAAACGCGCCGGCUUGGAGACCAGGAGAUCUUUGGCGACUAACUUUUCCGGCUUUGGGCUCAGGACGCGUGCGCGGGCCUGGCGGCGGG